rnacentral:rRNA from 1 species
CCUACGGGUGGCAGCAGUGGGGAAUAUUGGACAAUGGGCGAAAGCCUGAUCCAGCCAUGCCGCGUGUGUGGAGAAGGCCUUCGGGUUGUAAAGCACUUUCAGUGGGGAAGAAAGCCUUGGGGCUAAUACCCUCGAGGAAGGACAUCACCCACAGAAGAAGCACCGGCUAACUCCGUGCCAGCAGCCGCGGUAAUACGGAGGGUGCGAGCGUUAAUCGGAAUUACUGGGCGUAAAGCGCGCGUAGGCGGUCUGAUAAGCCGGUUGUGAAAGCCCCGGGCUCAACCUGGGAACGGCAUCCGGAACUGUCAGGCUAGAGUGCAGGAGAGGAAGGUAGAAUUCCCGGUAUAGCGGUGAAAUGCGUAGAGAUCGGGAGGAAUACCAGUGGCGAAGGCGGCCUUCUGGACUGACACUGACGCUGAGGUGCGAAAGCGUGGGUAGCAAACAGGAUUAGAUACCCCAGUAGUC